UACGAAGGGGGCUAGCGUUGCUUGGAAUCACUGGGCUAAAGGGCGCGUAGGCGGACUUUUAAGUCGGGGGUGAAAGCCCAGGGCUCAACCCUGGAAUUGCCUUCGAUACUGAGAGUCUUGAGUUCGGAAGAGGUUGGUGGAACUGCGAGUGUAGAGGUGAAAUUCGUAGAUAUUCGCAAGAACACCAGUGGCGAAGGCGGCCAACUGGUCCGAUACUGACGCUGAGGCGCGAAAGCGUGGGGAGCAAACAGG
rnacentral:rRNA from 1 species